CAGACAACCGCCCAACACGUGAGCCAAGCAGACAACCGCCCAACACGUGAGCCACGCAGACCACAACCUCCAGCACACAAGCCACAUAAACAACUUCCCAACACGUAAGGCACGCAGACCACAACUUCCCAACACGUAAGCCAAGCAGACAACCGCCUAACACAUGAGCCACGCAGACCACAACCUCCAGCACACAAGCCACAUAAACAACUUCCCAACACAUAAGGCACGCAGACCACAACCUCCCAACAGAUAAGCCACACAGACCACAGCAACUUUCCAACACACAAGCCAUGCAAACCACAAACUCCCAAAAGGCGAGCCAAGCAACCGCCCCACACGUGAGCCACGCAGACCGCAACCGCCCCACACGUGCGCCACGCAGACCACAACCUCCCAACACGUGAGCCACACAAACCCACAACCUCCCAACACAUAAGCCACACAGACCACAGCAACUUCCCAACACGCAAGCCACGCAAACUGCAACCUCCCAACACACGAGCCACGCAAACCACAGCAACUUCCCAACACAUAAGCCACAGAGACCACAGCAACUUCCCAACACACGAGCCACGCAGACUGCAACCUCCCAACACACAAGCCACACAAACCACAACCUCCCAACACAUAAGCCACGCAGACCACAGCAACUUCCCAACAUGCAAGCCACGUGAACCACAACCUCCCAACACACAAGCCACGCAGCCACAACCUCCCAACACACGGGCCACACAGACUGCAACCUUCCAACACGCAAGCCACACAGACCACUGCAACUUCCCAACACGUGAGCCACGCAGA
rnacentral:lncRNA from 1 species